UAUGAUUCACAAUAUAUCUGCCAC
rnacentral:siRNA from 1 species